rnacentral:rRNA from 1 species
GUAGGGUGCAAGCGUUAAUCGGAAUUACUGGGCGUAAAGCGUGCGCAGGCGGUUAUGUAAGACAGGUGUGAAAUCCCCGGGCUUAACCUGGGAACUGCAUUUGUGACUGCAUAGCUAGAGUACGGUAGAGGGGGAUGGAAUUCCGCGUGUAGCAGUGAAAUGCGUAGAUAUGCGGAGGAACACCGAUGGCGAAGGCAAUCCCCUGGACCUGUACUGACGCUCAUGCACGAAAGCGUGGGGAGCAAACAGGAUUAGAUACCCUGGUAGUCCACGCCCUAAACGAUGUCAACUGGUUGUUGGGUCUUCACUGACUCAGUAACGAAGCUAACGCGUGAAGUUGACCGCCUGGGGAGUACGGCCGCAAGGUUG